ensembl:lncRNA
GGGAAAGACACACUUAACAGUCAGAGAUGUGGGAUCAGUGGAAACGCAUCACCCAAACUGCAGUGUGUAUACUUCAGCAUUUACAAAUAGCUAAUCAAGACAGAUUUCAUGAGGGUUUUACUCACAGUUUUCACCCAAAGCCUAAACAAAAUAAAUUCUUGCAAGUCGGCCAUUCUUUGUGAGAGGAGGUGCAUAACUUCAUGACAUUACAUCUCAGAAAUGUGGUUUCUGUAUUUGGAGAAAUGGUCCUAUUGCUAAGUAUAAACUGAAAGUUAGGAUUAUAGUGGAAAAGUAUAAAUCUAUUUGCUGUAGUCAUGAUGUAGUGUCGACACAUAGACACAGAGGGACAGCAAGAAGUGCAGUCCAAAGCAGUAAAGGGAACUGAAGAGCCUGAUCAGCAUUAAAGGAGCACGAGGAGUUUGUCUACACAUCACUCUAGUGGAGCAGCAGAGAUGCACAGGUUGUUUAAGGCACAGGCAACUUGCACAAUCUUAUCAAAGGUUGAGAGGUUCGACGUGCGCUCAGAGGCUGCGGUGAAGGCGCUCUCGACAGGGCCCGUGAGCAUGGCGUACCGCUGCUUUACCAUGGAGAUCACCCUCUCCACAUGCCUCUGCACGCUCAAUGUCUCGGAGGAAGGAUCAGCCAGCAAUGAGCCCUCUGUUCUCCCAUAUGCUUCUCCCUGGUAGCUGCCAGCAAUUUUAAACAAGGCUCCACGUGCUGCCACAGAGUCUCCGAUGUCCAGGUCACGGCUUGCCAGUACGACAUCGCCCGGGAGAAGCUUGCACAAAAAUCCACAACCCUCAGCCAGGCUCUUGUCACUGACGUUUCCCAGCACACCCCUAGAGACAAAAGUGACCACGCCUUGCGGAGCCACGCCAAUCAGAUACUUAAACACGUUAUAACUUGACCCCGCCCCCUGAGAGACCGGGUCCUCGAAAGGCACGGUGAAACAGUCUAUGAUGACGGCGCAGUCAGGAUGAGAGGCUCGCAGCGCGGCUGGCAGGUUUUUACGGAGCUCAGCUCUGGAGGGCCAAAAGACAGCCGUUGGCACCAGAGUAGAGGACAUGAUGUUGACCAUCCGGUGAACUGUUCUGGUUACUGUGCCGACUUUCACGCCAAAGCGACUGAUCAUCAUUAUCAUCAUCAUCAUCAUCAUCAUCGUCGUCGUCAUCAUCAUCAUCAUCAUCUUCUUCAGUGCUGAGGGAGGAGGAGGCACUCUCCUCUGCAGUGGUCUCCUGUUCCUUCACCUCAGGAUGCUCUUCCUGGCCCUGUUCAUCCACCGCAGACAUGCCCUGGCCCUGGAGGAACAGCAAGGCAUUGGCUGCCUCCACCCGUGCUUCCUGUUUGUCCAAGAUCUCUAAAGCACCCGGCUCCUUCAUCUCUGGGCAUAA